rnacentral:rRNA from 1 species
AAUGCUUACACAUGCAAGUCGACAGGAAUUCUUCUUCGGAAGAUAGUACGGUGGCGGACGGGUGAGUAACGCGUAAAGAAUUUGCCCUUCAGACUGGGACAACUAAUCGAAAGGUUAGCUAAUACCGGAUAUUAUGAGACCUCGGCAUCGAGGACUUAUGAAAGCUAUAUGCGCUGGAGGAGAACUUUGCGUUCCAUUAGCUAGUUGGUAGGGUAAUGGCCUACCAAGGCGACGAUGGAUAGCCGGCCUGAGAGGGUGAACGGCCACAAGGGGACUGAGACACGGCCCUUACUCCUACGGGAGGCAGCAGUGGGGAAUAUUGGACAAUGGACCAAAAGUCUGAUCCAGCAAUUCUGUGUGCACGAUGAAGGUCUUCGGAUUGUAAAGUGCUUUCAGGUGGGAAGAAGAAAGUGACGGUACCACCAGAAGAAGCGACGGCUAAAUACGUGCCAGCAGCCGCGGUAAUACGUAUGUCGCAAGCGUUAUCCGGAAUUAUUGGGCGUAAAGCGAGUCUAGGCGGCUUGUUAAGUCAGAUGUGAAAAUGCGGGGCUCAACUCCGUAUUGCGUUUGAAACUGGCAGGCUAGAGUACUGGAGAGGUGGGCGGAACUACAAGUGUAGAGGUGAAAUUCGUAGAUAUUUGUAGGAAUGCCGAUAGUGAAGACAGCUCACUGGACAGAUACUGACGCUAAAGCUCGAAAGCGUGGGGAGCGAACAGGAUUAGAUACCCUGGUAGUCCACGCCGUAAACGAUGUUCACUGGGUGUAGGGGGUCGAACCUCUGUGCCGAAGCUAACGCGACAAGUGAACCGCCUGGGGAGUACGCACGCAAGUGUGAAACUCAAAGGAAUUGACGGGGACCCGCACAAGCGGUGGAGCAUGUGGUUUAAUUCCGACGCAACGC